GGCGAUAUCUCCUGUCCGUUAUCCAUGGAGGUACUCGGUUGCGCUGUGGGGCAAUAGUCCUUAGACACUGGUUGUCGGGAGCGUGAUGUGAGGGUGGGUUGGAUGCCC
rnacentral:ncRNA from 1 species